UGUACAGGCGAAGCCCUCGAGAACUUGCCCCGCCGAAUUCCUCACGACACCAGCGAUAUAGCCCAGAAAUUCGCCCGGUAUCCAGGACGCAUCGACGUUCAUCUUCAGUUCGCUUCGCUCAGGAGGUUUCCAUCGCCCAGGAGAUCUUUGGGUUUCGGAGCUUUUGAUCGAAAGAUCCAUUCGUUUCUUGCCUUCCAGAUGUGCCACAGAAGCAGACCUGUAUAUUCUCUCUCGGGUUUUCUCUCGUGGGAAGGGCGUUUUGGCAGAGAGCCCAAAGAAAAGUUUUGAGUUUUGGGGGCACUUCAAGGCUCCAGAUGAUGGUCCAUAAGUGUCUCGGCCUUUUAACAGACUCCGCCAUCCCCAUGAGGGUCGUAGGCCAGUGCUUGCUGUCCAAAGAUCCCCUGUAGGAAAGUAGAUUCCUUUCAACACUCUACUCCACAAGGCAGAAGGGGACGUUGAUAGCCGCCAAACUUGCUUGCCUAACAUGGCAUAAUUAAAGAUUGAAACUGGCAGCUUGAAGAUGGACAUAGCAUGCAUAGGUAUGGACUGAACAACACUUUUGAUCAACACCUCCUUUCCUGCCUUAGUAAGUAGUUUUUCCUUCCACCCUUCUA